rnacentral:rRNA from 1 species
UACGUAGGGUGCGAGCGUUGUCCGGAAUUAUUGGGCGUAAAGGGCUCGUAGGCGGUCUGUUGCGUCGGGAGUGAAAACUCAGGGCUUAACCCUGAGCCUGCUUCCGAUACGGGCAGACUAGAGGUAUGCAGGGGAGAACGGAAUUCCUGGUGUAGCGGUGAAAUGCGCAGAUAUCGGGAGGAACACCAGUAGCGAAGGCGGCUCGCUGGGCCACUCCUGACGCUGAGACGCGAAAGCAUGGGGAGCGAACAGG